rnacentral:rRNA from 1 species
GCCAAACCGUAAAUUUAAAUUACACAUAAAACGCCAGGGUACUACGAGCCAAGCUUAAAACCCAAAGGAUUUGACGGUGUUUCAUCCAACUAGAGGAGCCUGUUCUAUAAUCGAUAGUCCACGAUCUACCUAACCAUUUUUUGCUACGCAGCCUGUAUACCUCCGUCGUAAGUUUACCAUUUAAGUGAGCAAAAGUGAGCAAAAGGACUUAGAGCCAAAACGUCAGGUCAAGGUGCAGCUUAUAAAAUGGAAGAAAUGAGCUACAAUUUCUAAUUUAGAACACACGAAUUACUGCAUGAAAAAAGGUCAUGAAGGUGGAUUUAGCAGUAAGUAGGGAAUAGAGAGCCCUACUUAAUAUCGGCCCUGAAACGCGUACAAACCGCCCGUCACCCUCUUCGAUAGCUCUAUUUACGUUAAUUAACCUAUUUACCGCGUCUUAGAAGAGGCAAGUCGUAACAUGGUAAGUAUACUGGAAAGUGUACUUGGAAUAACAAAAUGUAGCUUAAUAAAGCUCUUCGCUUACACCGAAAGGAUGUCUGUGCAACCCAGGCCAUUUUGAGCCAAAAUCUCAGCCUUAAACUACUGUAUAAAUUUAACUGGCUUAAAUUUUAUAGAUAAAACAUUUUGACUCCUUAAGUAAAGGUGAUUGAAAAAGAUCUAUGCGCUAUAGAAAUAGUACCGCAAGGGAAAAAUGAAAUAACAAUGAAACAAUUAAAGCUAUUUAUAGCAGAGAAUUUACCUCG